UCGUGAGAGUUUCCGUCUCCAGCAAACUGAACAAUAGCUCCAGACUCAAGUGUUCCCGAUCUUUGGAAAAGCUUGGACUCUGAGACAAAUUCCCUGCCUGCAGCUCAUCCCUGGCCAGCGUUUUGCCAGCCUUAGGUCAUGUGCUUCACAUUUACUCUUCGUGCAAAGUCCCCUUGUUAGGGGGUGGUGGUGUCAGCCGCUUGCCCUACACCUACAGGGACAGCAUUGUUAAGAGACACUUUCACACCAUGCGUCCCGCACUCGGAGGUGGCAUCCGGGGCUUCACGCAGGCAUUCUCACUUCCAGCUCACAGGAGUGACAGCAUGGCCUGCUAUAAAUCAGGAGCCUGCACGUGAUUGACAUGUGAACUGGCAGCGAGAGGACAAGGGCUGACAUCUGGCUUACACAUGCUCUGUGCUGGUUUUCCCUGAGUAAGGAUUUGGGUGCAUUUUGCACACUUUAAAUCGUUUCAAGAACAUUGAAAACAUUUAGUUCUCUGUUGAUUGGAAAAACAGAACUGAACUUCUGAAGUAUGUGGUUUAUUCCUAGAAACAUGUGAGCCAUGCCAGCAUUCAAGUUGGUGUUUAACUCUGAAGCAACGUGUCUUCCAGUUUUGUCAGGACUGUAAUACCACGGCGUUCAAUUAUCCAAGUGCAUGGUUCACUCUUUUGAUGCACAAGACCCCAGCGAUCCCAGUUAUCCCCAUUAGGAAACCCGUGUGAGACUUGGCUGUGCCCCGGAUUGAUUCCUACACAAUCAUGCCUGAAAACUCUUCUCCAGCGCAGCCAGAUGUGCUUUCCUGCACAGUGCAGUGGGGCCUUGGCUUCUGAUUAAGUCCACAAUAUCAAUGUAAAGGCUGGCACCAAGGGAACCUCGAGGUGAUGGGCGUACCAGAGCACCUUGUUCUAGAACCUGCACUCUCUGUCUCACAGGGUUGUGCCCAUACUAAAUGUGGUUUAUAUUUUUAAUUCUGCUUCCAGAAGGAAACAGAAAGACAGAAGAAACAAAUCAGCCUGCCCUGUGUUGGAUAUGGGAAGGUUUCAUUUUCUCUGAGUGCCAACAUCAGAUGGAUGGAAACAGACAAGGUCAAUUUUCACAUUCUCAUCCCCAGGUGAAAAAGAUCAAGAGAAAAGUUCAAAAAGCCCUUAUUAGAUGGUGAAAGGUUUAGCCUAAGAACAAAAGACUUUCCAGGCCUUUUGGAGGACCACGCUGUUGGAGUUCAUUAAUAUAACAUACUGCCACUGUGUCUUCAAAUGGACCUGUCAGAAAUGUUAUAAUGGCACUAGGCUAACCUCUCCUCCACUUUAAGUUUUGUGUCACUUUUGGGUGACACAAAGGCUUUACUUAGAUCCAGUAAACCUGUUUUAACCAUUUAGCCCCAGCACAUUUCCGAGAGCUGUGCAAAAGUAAGUGCUAAUAAUUAACAUGUCUUCACCCAUGCCAUAUGAGUCUUCUUGGGCUCCGUCUUCAGUAAAGCAUGAACCUAUGUUUAAUUAAAGGAAUUAUACAAGGAGAUAGAUGCUAGCAAUCAAGUUUUUCUGAUUAAGAAAGAAGGAUCUUCUUAUUUUCUUCCCACAGAUGCAAGCUCAAAUGCCCUCCUGUUCCACAUUCUCUUGACAAGCCAUUAUCAUUGCCCAAGCUUUGAGUUUCUGCAGGAGGAUGCUGCUGUUUCCUGGCCUCCUGGGUUUCAAGCCAUGCAGACCUACUUCCUGCACUCAAAUUCCUCACAGCCCACCUCUAAGUAUGUCCUGGAGCACUGCUCGGAAGGCACAGCUUGUUGUGUUUCUUGGGGCUGGCA